AUGAGAACCAAAUCAACAUUCAUAUGCUGUCAGCCAGAAUUUGGACUUCAAAUUUACCAUUGAGCUCUCAGCAAAAAUGUAGAUUUUCUCCUCAGAAAUGUGAUUGAACACUGGAUUUUUUUUUAAUUCUUUUUUUUUUUUUUUUUUUUCCUGGAGCCAAGAUGUAAUUGUUAGGGCUAGUUUAAAUAGCUAGAAAUACCAAAAACUUCUUUUAUUGUCGGUAACUGUUGAGUCUGGCUAGAGCAAGAAUGGUGAUGAGGAUCUUGCCCUUGGAAUAAUGGAUGAGCAAUGGGAUUUGGAUGUAUAGCAGGAGGUGUGGCUGCAUUCAGGUGUGGUGAAAAUAAGGCUGGGAUAUAUGCAGUAUGUGGCAGUAGGGGGAAGUUCAUUGGGGAAGGGUGAAUAGGGGUGGUGGAGACCAAGUGCAAUGGGUGUCCUGUCAGCAGAGCAGGGUGGGUGGGAAUGAGGGCUGGUGCUAAUGGAGAAAGUGAUAUAGGGGCAAAAUGUGCCUGAGAGAGGGGAUGGAGGUGUGCCAGAGAGAGAUGGCCGCCAUGGGGGUGUACAGAUGCUGAGACAGCAAAGCGUUGCAGCAGGGUAUGAUGUAUGGUGGUGACUGUUGCAUGCUGCUGAACAGGGAUGGCAGGAACUGCUGGUGUUGCAGAGAAGGCAGCUGGUCCUGGAGCAGGCAAAACUUGCAGCUAUGGAAAUGAUGCCUUAAGGAUCUUUUCAGUGUUGUUGUAUGAAGACCUUUUUCCACCAUAGAAUCCUUUUGUGAGACAUCAAGAGUUCUCACUGAAGACUGAUGCUGAGGAUUCAAGCUUCAAAGGGACUUUUUUAGAGAAUGAGAAAGACACUCCUGCUCUUUGAGAAGCACUGGUACAAUCUGGGAACACUUGUGAGACUUUAUUUCCAAGCAAAUGGAGUCUUUCAGUAGGUGACUGGUGCCUGCUUAUGAUAAGCUGCUGUUUUUCUAGUACGCUGCUGGAGAAACCUUGUCCUGUACUUGUGGUGGUGCUCUGAGAUUUGGCUGUGACCUUGCCACCUUUGUACAGGAAAAAUCCAUCUGGUGAUUGCUGCUUUUCCUCAACUAACCUGGGGGCUUUAAGCGUUGGUCUACUUCCAGUGAUGCUGUAAGAAAACAUAUUAAAACAUGGUUGAAUUAAUUAAGUAACCAAACUAAAACAGAACUCAUGCUUGACAAUACCUGUCUGGCAAGGAAAAGCGUUACUUAUAGGCACUUCCACUCAUAACAUCUGCAGAAUCACUCUUUAAUAGAAAGGGCAACGUUCUACUUGAUUUGUGUGUCUGUGUAGGUAUGAUUUCUUUUCUAUAAGCAAAUUUUAUUUUACCUUUAUAUUAUUCCACAAUAGAUGAUUUUGUGAAAUAUUCCAGGUAAUAGUAAUGCUAAGACUAUCUCCAAACAUUGGUGGGGGAAAGGUCAAAAGGUGGAGUUCCAUUAAUAUUAAUGGUAACUUCAGCACUCUCAUUAUCACUACCAUUUGACUUUGUCGUAUUUUCUCCUCCCAUACUAUCUUUCAGUUAAUUUUCCUUUUUUCCCAAAACCUCAGAUAUUAAAUCCAUGGUUUACUUUUCUUGUACUUUAGUAAAAAAUAAAUCAACCUAUUCUAAGAAGAACUUACUUAAAAAACAUGGUUAAAAAAGCAAUUAUUGAUUGCUUUUAAUAGAUGACUAGCUGAAUGGAGUUAUCAGAUUAACUACUGCUUUUUUUUUUUCAUUAGAGAUGUAUAUAUCCACCAUGAAUGUUAUUCCAAUUAAUAUUUAAACAUGCAUUUCAUUAGUUACGUUAUCUACAUUUGCUAUCAAAGCCAUUCUACAAUACACUUUCAUGGAAAAAAAAAAAAAAAAAAGUUGGAACCAGCAUCAGUAAACAGUUUGAUUAAAAAAUAGAAAAUAUUUUAAUCAAAUGUAAGUAAAUUGCAACUUCCAGAUCUGCAUAGAGAUUAUAAAUAGUCUGGCAUGUUUUAGAUAUGCUGUAAAAAAAGCAUUGAUCUCCA
ensembl:lncRNA